AACUGUUAAAAUUAGUUUUGAACGUACUAAGACACCAAUAAUUAUUGAAGAUAUUUCCAGUUCUUCAGCCCCUUCAGUUAUCCAUACUAGAAGAGACACUGAAGUACUCAGUAAUCCUUCAAUCAAAGAUGUUAAGUUAAAAGGCGUUCUUAAUCAAGGUCAAACCAGUCAUUAACCCCUCUUCUCUACUUCUCCAGUUAAAUGUUCUAAGUUGUAAGUUAAUUUCAUUUUUAUCAUUGUUAUUAGCAUCAGAAAUUUUGAAUGGGCUGGCAACAACAGACGUAUUUUUAACUGAGAUUAGAACUGUUUCUAAAGGGGGAUGACUAGAUGACACUUUUGACUUAUCUUCUUUAACCCACUGUGUUUUGGUAAUCACGUUACAUUUACUUUGAAAUUGUUCAUACCAAUCAUAAAAUGAAAUAUUCAUUCUCUCAUUUUUAAUAAAUCUUUUCCAUCUGUUUAUUAUUUUAUCACGCUCCUUUUCUGUGGGGUGAUUGGAUCUAAAUAGAUGUCUUUUUUCUUUAUUAGAUUUAGCAUUAAAAUCUUUUACUAGAUUAUCCCAGUCUAAAACGAACUCCUUUUUGAUAACUCUUAAUUGAUUGUUAAUGGGGAUAUCAAAAUCUGACUGAGUGGGCAUCACAGAAGAAGUGGGAGAAGAAGAACUUUCUUCUUCAGCAAAAUCUCUAUGAGCAUAACAAGGGUGAUAAGAAUUAUUGAAUUAAGCCUUUGAGGCUGUAACUAAGCCUAAAGAAACUUAGGCUGUAAAAGUAAAAUGUUUCUUACGUUUUACUGUAACUAAGCCUCAAAGGCAUAACAAUGGUAUCAAAGCCACGUUGUUGUUUGUUCUAGUUGUUGAUAAGAAAUUUAUAAUCUUUCAUUCAUACUACUUUCAAAACAUCUUCUAAUUCUUUGUCAUAAGUCACCUAACUUACUGUAGUCCACCCUUUUCCGUGUCUACCCAGGUAAGUCUCUUGUGUGAGUAGUUUCGGGUAUUAGGUUUGGGUAUGAGUCUACUCAAGGUAAGAGGGUCUGUAUGGAAGAUAAAGAGUGAAAUUUUAUUUUGAAACCAGUAUAAUGAAUAGGUUAUUUAGAUCUAACUCUUCAACUAGUCAAAGGUCAACUUUACCUUCUGUCCCAGACAUAGUUAACCAAGAAUCUCACAGUUAUGAAAAUAUUAGUCAAGCCUUACACAAUUGGAAUAUACCAAGAGUUUCCCCUAAAGAAAUUUAUCAGUCAACAUUUUUAGAUAUUUUUAAAACUGAUUAUAAUGUCAAAACGGUUGAGAAAGUUUACGCCAUUAAUAAAGAAUAUGAAAAUUGUAGUCUUCUUGACCUUGAUGUUAUUAAAAAACAUAGGAAAAAGGGUUACAAUUUUAUUCAUAUUGGAUUAAUUCAAGUUGCAGUAAAACCAUUAAACAUUAAAGGAAUUAACUCAUGCAUCUAUCUCUGUCUAAGAGAUGCUCGGUUUUUGAAUUAUCACCCCAGUAUAAUAGGUGCUAUGGAAUCAAGUUUGCACAAUGGACCUGUCCAUUUUAAUUGCUUUCCUGAUUUCACCCUAAGUCUUAGUGAUCAGCAUUUAUUAAAGGCUUUAACAUUAAAUAUUAAAACUUCAGGUGAAAUCACUCAUAUGAUUGAGGGUUCUCAGCCUAUUGCUUUAAUUUAUAGGAUUUAUUAUAAAACAAUGAAAACAAACUUAAAUGUUCAUGCCUUAAAUAAAAGCCCUAAAGAUUUAACAGUUUUAAUUCAAAGCUCUACUACUGAUGCUAAUAUUCAAGUUCCAAGAACAAUUCUCUGGAAGGAUAUUACGCUUCCCAGUCAGUGGACUCUACCUAAUGAAUUACCCCAACAGCCCAUAGUCAAUAAUUUAUUAAAUAUUGAAAAUAUUCAACAAUUUUCUGAUGGAACUGUUAAAAUUAGUUUUGAACGUACUAAGACACCAAUAAUUAUUGAAGACAUUUCCAGUUCUUCAGCCCCUUCAGUUAUCCAUACUAGAAGAGACACUGAAGUACUCAGUAAUCCUUCAAUCAAAAAUGUUAAGUUAAAAGGCGUUCUUAAUCAAGGUCAAACUAGUCAUCCUUGUUAUGCUCAUAGAGAUUUUGUUGAAGAAGAAAGUUCUUCU
rnacentral:lncRNA from 1 species